rnacentral:rRNA from 1 species
GUGCCAGCAGCCGCGGUAAUACCGGCAGCACAAGUGAUGGCCGAUAUUAUUGGGCCUAAAGCGUUCGUAGCUGGCCAGGCAAGUUCGUUGGGAAAUCCACGCGCUCAACGCGUGGGCGUCCAGCGAAAACUGUUUGGCUUGGGGCCGGAAGACUCGAGGGGUACGUCCGGGGUAGGAGUGAAAUCCCGUAAUCCUGGACGGACCGCCGAUGGCGAAAGCACGUCGGGAAGACGGAUCCGACGGUGAGGGACGAAAGCCAGGGUCUCCAACCGGAUUAGAUACCCGUGUAGUCC